UACGAAGGGGGCUAGCGUUGCUCGGAAUCACUGGGCGUAAAGCGCACGUAGGCGGAUUGCUAAGUCAGGGGUGAAAUCCUGGAGCUCAACUCCAGAACUGCCUUUGAUACUGAAGAUCUUGAGUGCGGGAGAGGUGAGUGGAACUGCGAGUGUAGAGGUGAAAUUCGUAGAUAUUCGCAAGAACACCAGUGGCGAAGGCGGCUCACUGGCCCGAUACUGACGCUGAGGCACGAAAGCGUGGGGAGCAAACAGG
rnacentral:rRNA from 1 species